CGCCUGCCCCCGCCGGCCCGCGCCCGUGACUCACCUCGGCGCCGGGGCAGGCUGGUCCGGGCGGGCGAGGCGCAGGGCUCUCCCACACGUCGCGCCGCCAAUGGCAAGUUGGAGGGCGAGAUGCAAAUACCAGGCCUUGCAAAGUGGCUGCCCAGGUCCAUGAAAGUAAUAGGUGACAGAGCUGGGACUCUAAGCAAGAAGAGUACUCUUUCCACUGUGCUGCACUGCUUUGCCAGAAACACAGGAGCAGGGAGCACUUCCAGGACCUCGGAAAGAAACAUAGGAAGAAGAGAAAUGGGGAGACAGCAAAGAUUCCACGGGGAGGGUGAGAAUAAUAGGCCUGAGGAAAAGUGAACAGAGAUAUGGGAUUUCUCCAGACAAAAGGACUGUAAGCUCCACCCUGGACUGAACACAGUGUUCCUGGGAAUGACAGAAGAUGCAACCAGAGAAUGGGAAAGAACCAUGGUUGGAAAGAAAAGCCUAGGAUACAUAGAAGCAAGACAAGAAAACAUCCUGAGGGGCAUUAGCUUCCUGCUGGAACUCACACAUCAUUCUCCUGGUACUUAUGUUGCAUUAAAAGUCCCCAGUGGGGAAAAAA